rnacentral:rRNA from 1 species
CAUAGGUUAAUGAGGCGAACCGGGGGAACUGAAACAUCUAAGUACCCCGAGGAAAAGAAAUCAACCGAGAUUCCCCCAGUAGCGGCGAGCGAACGGGGAGGAGCCCAGAGCCUGAAUCAGUGUGUGUGUUAGUGGAAGCGUCUGGAAAGGCGCGCGAUACAGGGUGACAGCCCCGUACACAAAAAUGCACAUAUUGUGAGCUCGAUGAGUAGGGCGGGACACGUGGUAUCCUGUCUGAAUAUGGGGGGACCAUCCUCCAAGGCUAAAUACUCCUGACUGACCGAUAGUGAACCAGUACCGUGAGGGAAAGGCGAAAAGAACCCCGGCGAGGGGAGUGAAAAAGAACCUGAAACCGUGUACGUACAAGCAGUGGGAGCCUCUUAAUGGGGUGACUGCGUACCUUUUGUAUAAUGGGUCAGCGACUUAUAUUCUGUAGCAAGGUUAACCGAAUAGGGGAGCCGAAGGGAAACCGAGUCUUAACUGGGCGUUAAGUUGCAGGGUAUAGACCCGAAACCCGGUGAUCUAGCCAUGGGCAGGUUGAAGGUUGGGUAACACUAACUGGAGGACCGAACCGACUAAUGUUGAAAAAUUAGCGGAUGACUUGUGGCUGGGGGUGAAAGGCCAAUCAAACCGGGAGAUAGCUGGUUCUCCCCGAAAGCUAUUUAGGUAGCGCCUCGUGAAUUCAUCUCCGGGGGUAGAGCACUGUUUCGGCAAGGGGGUCAUCCCGACUUACCAACCCGAUGCAAACUGCGAAUACCGGAGAAUGUUAUCACGGGAGACACACGGCGGGUGCUAACGUCCGUCGUGAAGAGGGAAACAACCCAGACCGCCAGCUAAGGUCCCAAAGUCAUGGUUAAGUGGGAAACGAUGUGGGAAGGCCCAGACAGCCAGGAUGUUGGCUUAGAAGCAGCCAUCAUUUAAAGAAAGCGUAAUAGCUCACUGGUCGAGUCGGCCUGCGCGGAAGAUGUAACGGGGCUAAACCAUGCACCGAAGCUGCGGCAGCGACACUAUGUGUUGUUG